rnacentral:misc_RNA from 1 species
AAGUCGUAACAAGGUUUCCGUAGGUGAACCUGCGGAAGGAUCAUUAUUGAAUAAACUUGGUUGGGUUGCUGCUGGCUCUCAGGAGCAUGUGCACACUCGAUCCAUUUUAACCACCUGUGCACACACUGUAGGCCUGAAUGGAACUUUUCGAGGAAACUCGGUUUGAAGACUGCUGUGAAAAUCAGCUGUUUUUGCAUUCCAGGUCUAUGUUUUUAACAUAUACUCCAUAACAAGUUAUAGAAUGUUAAUCAUUGGCCUUCUGUGCCUUUUUUAAAAUAUAAUACAACUUUCAACAACGGA